rnacentral:lncRNA from 1 species
GCCGGGGCGUCCCCCGCGGGAGCCCGCAGCCACCCGGGACGCGCAUCCAGACGUGGCGCUUCGGACCGGGCACGCUGCGCCCGGGGGCUCGGCGGACCCCGCGUAGCCGCCGCUUCGGAGCUUGUGCGGCGCGGGCUGGCCAGCGGGGCGGCCAGGGCCCGGCCCGCCUCCCCAGCGCCCGCCCGGCUUCUCCCCCUGGCGGUGGGAGCCUCGGCGGCCGCUGGCGACACUAGGCGCACUGAAGCCCGAGCCGAGCCGAGCCCGAGCCGCCGCCGCCGCCGCCGCUGCUGCGCACCGCUCCCGGGCUCCCUCCCAGCGCGCCGGCCGGGGUGUGGGGGGCGGCGGGCCGGAGGGGCGAGGGCGGGCCAGGGGGCGCACACGGGGGUUGGCGCGGAAGACAGGACCCUCAGCCUCGAGGGAGCCCCUAGGUGACCAGGCAAAAUGGCAGUUCCUUCCAGCUGGUCCUCAGAUGGGCACAUCUAUUAGCCUCUGCUCUUGUAAGAAGUUAGCUGCAGAACCCACAUGUGAAUCCUUGUAGGACUCUGGAGAAGAUCAAAUGGGAGCUUAGAUGUGGAAGCUCUUUGGAAACCAAGAAACACUCUGAAAAUGAAAAGGCAUAAGAAUGUUUAUCACAGCAUGGCAUAUAUUGGAAGUUUAGUAAAUGAAGAUACAUCCAAUCUGACAUUCUAUUCACAACCACAAAGAGAUAAUGUAGAAACAUAUUUAGUAAUGUGAGAAAAUACUAAAUAUUAAGUGAAAAAGGUGGAAGAGUAAACUGUUCCUGUUUCUCCAUCUUGACAGGAAGCAGAAGUUCUCCUUAGCUGAUUUUUCUUCUUGCCUUAUACUGGGUUCUUUAACACCAGAACAAAAAUAAAUAAAUAAAAGAAUCUUCCAGAAAUUCAUGAAGAGACUUCAGGUCAGGAAAGCCUGAACUUUCUCAUCCAACACCCGUUCAAGUCGGAGGAUGCUGAUUAAUUCAUGAUGGAAAGGUAUCAAUUUCACAGCCCAGACCUCUACAUUCUUGAAAUGCUCUUCUCAUGGGAGACAUUAAAUAAGCUUUGAAUUAACUGAAGAACCAAUGAUGUGAUCCCUGGAUACUGGCAAUUGUUGCCCAAGAAAACCUCUCCCCUUGCUGUGGGACUGCUGGGCACCCAAAUAAUGCACCCAAAUAAUUUGAUAGCUCUUGUUACACAGCUCUUCUUGGACUAAAAGGCCCUCAGCAUUCCUGUCAAUUUCUACACUCCUGAAGCUUCAUCUGGAGACCUCUGUGGAUUCUAUAACUCAAAGACCCAGGCUGACGGCUGGUGGAAUAGCUACCAUCUCAAACAUGGCGUGAUGCUGCAUCAGAGAGAAAAAUAAGCUCUUGCAUUGACAAUGAAAUGUCUACCCUGUAGUGACUUGUGCUUACUUCCACUCACAAGUGAUUGCCCAGAGCUACUUACCUGGCUCCAAUCUACCACUGGUGCCAUGACACCCAGGAUGCAGCUGUAGGAACACCACUGGGUCCCUGGAUGUCAUGUAAGCCCUUAAGUAAAAGUGCCAUCAAAUGAUUUCUCAGAAAUUAUAAAGAAACAAAAGGACCAUAAACAAGAUAAGGUGGCAUGAGGAAACAUUACAAGUACCUUUCAGAGCUGACUGGCAAAGAAACUCCUGAGGUGACGGUUCUACCCCAAUAUUACUUCUUCGAAGAGCAACCUAACUCUUAGGUGGCCUAGAGGGGCAAGACUGGUGUGGCAAAUUGGGAUCAGCAGUGU